GACGAACCGUCCGAACGUUAUUCGGAAUCACUGGGCUUAAAGGGCGCGUAGGCGGGCCACCAAGUCCGGGGUGAAAUCCUCCAGCUUAACUGGAGAACUGCCUCGGAUACUGGAGGUCUCGAGGAUGAUAGGGGCAUGCGGAACUGUAGGUGGAGCGGUGAAAUGCGUUGAUAUCUACAGGAACUCCGGUGGCGAAGGCGGCAUGCUGGAUCAUUUCUGACGCUGAGGCGCGAAAGCUAGGGGAGCGAACGGG
rnacentral:rRNA from 1 species